rnacentral:rRNA from 1 species
UAGGGAAUCUUCCACAAUGGGCGCAAGCCUGAUGGAGCAACACCGCGUGAGUGAAGAAGGUUUUCGGAUCGUAAAGCUCUGUUGUAAGUCAAGAACGAGUGUGAGAGUGGAGAGUUCACACUGUGACGGUAGCUUACCAGAAAGGGACGGCUAACUACGUGCCAGCAGCCGCGGUAAUACGUAGGUCCCGAGCGUUGUCCGGAUUUAUUGGGCGUAAAGCGAGCGCAGGCGGUUUGAUAAGUCUGAAGUUAAAGGCUGUGGCUCAACCAUAGUUCGCUUUGGAAACUGUCAAACUUGAGUGCAGAAGGGGAGAGUGGAAUUCCAUGUGUAGCGGUGAAAUGCGUAGAUAUAUGGAGGAACACCGGUGGCGAAAGCGGCUCUCUGGUCUGUAACUGACGCUGAGGCUCGAAAGCGUGGGGAGCGAACAGGAUUAGAUACCCUGGUAGUCCACGCCGUAAACGAUGAGUGCUAGGUGUUGGAUCCUUUCCGGGAUUCAGUGCCGCAGCUAACGCAUUAAGCACUCCGCCUGGGGAGUACGACCGCAAGGUUG